rnacentral:rRNA from 1 species
GACGAACGCUGGCGGCGUGCUUAACACAUGCAAGUCGAACGGAAAGGCCCUGCUUUUGUGGGGUGCUCGAGUGGCGAACGGGUGAGUAACACGUGAGUAACCUGCCCUUGACUUUGGGAUAACUUCAGGAAACUGGGGCUAAUACCGGAUAGGAGCUCCUGCUGCAUGGUGGGGGUUGGAAAGUUUCGGCGGUGGGGGAUGGACUCGCGGCUUACCAGCUUGUUGGUGGGGUAGUGGCUUACCAAGGGUUCGACGGAUAGCCGGCCUGAGAGCGUGACCAGCGACCUGAGGCCUAAGAUAGGGACCAGACGGCUACGGGAGGCAGCAGUGGGGAAUCUUGCACAGUGGGCGGACGCGUGAUGCGGCAGCGCCGCGUGCGGAAUGACGGCCUUCGGGUUGUAAACCGCUUUCGCCUGUGACGAAGCGUGAUUGACGGUAAUGGGUAAAGAAGCACCGGCUAACUACGUG